rnacentral:rRNA from 1 species
GACGAACGCUGGCGGCGUGCCUAACACAUGCAAGUCGAACGGACGUGUUUCUUCGGAGAUACGUUAGUGGCGAACGGGUGAGUAACGCGUGAGAAACCUGCCUUUCAGUGGGGGACAACAGUUGGAAACGACUGCUAAUACCGCAUAGGACCACGACCCGGCAUCGGGUUGAGGUGAAAGAUUUAUCGCUGAGAGGUGGGCUCGCGUCUGAUUAGAUAGUUGGUGGGGUAACGGCCUACCAAGUCGACGAUCAGUAGCCGACCUGAGAGGGUGAUCGGCCACAUUGGGACUGAGACACGGCCCAAACUCCUACGGGAGGCAGCAGUGGGGAAUAUUGGGCAAUGGGGGAAACCCUGACCCAGCAACGCCGCGUGGAGGAAGAAGGUUUUCGGAUCGUAAACUCCUGUCCUCAGGGAAGAGCAGAAGACGGUACCUGAGGAGGAAGCCCCGGCUAACUACGUG